GAUGAACGCUGGCGGCGUGCUUAACACAUGCAAGUCGAACGAUGAAGCCCAGCUUGCUGGGUGGAUUAGUGGCGAACGGGUGAGUAACACGUGAGUAACCUGCCCUUAACUCUGGGAUAAGCCUGGGAAACUGGGUCUAAUACCGGAUAGGAGCGUCCACCGCAUGGUGGGUGUUGGAAAGAUUUAUCGGUUUUGGAUGGACUCGCGGCCUAUCAGCUUGUUGGUGAGGUAAUGGCUCACCAAGGCGACGACGGGUAGCCGGCCUGAGAGGGUGACCGGCCACACUGGGACUGAGACACGGCCCAGACCCCUACGGGGGGCAGGGGGGGGGAAAUUUGCACAAGGGGCGCAAGCCUGAUGCAGCGACGCCGGGGGGGGGAAGACGGCCUUCGGGUUGUAAACCGCUUUCAGUAGGGAAGAAGCGAAAGGGACGGUACCUGCAGAAGAAGCACCGGCUAACUACGG
rnacentral:rRNA from 1 species